rnacentral:rRNA from 1 species
CUGGAAACGGAGAUUAAUACCUGAUAGCGCAGGGUCCCCCGCAUGGGGGAAAUUGCUAAAGAUUUAUCGCUAUGAGAUUGGGAUGCGUCCUAUUAGCUAGUUGGCGGGGUAAAAGCCCACCGAGGCUACCAUAGGUAGCUGGUCUGAGAGGAUGAUCAGCCACACGGACACUGAGACACGGGUCCGACUCCUACGGGAGGCAGCAGUAAGGAAUAUUGGUCAAUGGGCGCAAGCCUGAACCAGCCAUGCCGCGUGCAGGAAGAAGGCCCUCUGGGUUGUAAACUGCUUUUGCUUGGGGAUAAAGGCAUGCUAUACCCAUGUUUGAAGGUACCAAGAGAAUAAGCCACGGCUAACUACGUGCCAGCAGCCGCGGUAAUACGUAGGUGGCAAGCGUUGUCCGGAUUUAUUGGGUUUAAAGGGUGCGUA